AGAACGAACGCUGGCGGCAGGCUUAACACAUGCAAGUCGAGCGCGCCCUUCGGGGUGAGCGGCGAACGGGUGAGUAACGCGUGGAACGUGCCCUUCUUCGGAAUAGCCUCGGGAAACUGGGAGUAAUGCCGAAUACGCCCAUUUGGAGUGAUCCAUUUGGGGAAAGAUUUAUCGGAGAGGGAUCGGCCCGCGUUGGAUUAGGUAGUUGGUGGGGUAAUGGCCUACCAAGCCGACGAUCCAUAGCUGGUUUGAGAGGAUGAUCAGCCACACUGGGACUGAGACACGGCCCAGACUCCUACGGGAGGCAGCAGUGGGGAAUCUUGGACAAUGGGGGCAACCCUGAUCCAGCCAUGCCGCGUGAUCGAUGAAGGCCUUAGGGUUGUAAAGAUCUUUCAGCUGGGAAGAUAAUGACGGUACCAGCAGAAGAAGCCCCGGCUAACUCCGUGCCAGCAGCCGC
rnacentral:rRNA from 1 species